ensembl:lncRNA
GUGACUAACACUAACACUUUGCCAUGGAAAGUAACAUAUUGCCAAGUUUAAGUAACAAGGAUGUGGACACUUGGAGGGAAUUAAUCAUCUACUUGGACUUCCCAGGUGGCUCAGGGGUAAAGAAUCCACCUGCACUGCAGGAGACUCAGGUUCCAUCUCUGGGUUGAAAAGAAGCCCCGGAGAAAGAAAUGGCAACCCACUCCUGUACUCUUACCUGGGAAAUCCCACAGACAGAGGACCCUACAGUCCUACAGGGACCUCAUGAAGCUGUGGAUGGGACUCUGUCCGUGACGACAUUGGCAUCCCACCUCAGGAGACCUGGAAUCAAUCCCUGGAAUGGGAAGAUCCCCUGGAGAAGGAAUGACAACCCACUCCAAUAUCCUUGCCUGGAGAAUUCCAUGGGCAGAGGAGCCUGGUGGGCUACAGUUCAUGAGAUGGCAAAAAGUCAGACAUGACUGAAUGACUAACAUUCCCCUCCACCCCACCCCACCCCUACAAUCCCCCUACCCCAGCUCAAUGGCUCCCCAAAGCAUCUGAUGCUUCUGAAACUGAUGGCUGAUCUCAACAGCCUGCCCACCUGCCACGUUUGUUCUUCUCCUGGACCAUUCUCUUCCUUGGGCCUGUGACUGACCCCAUCCUGGUCCUGGGUCCCUCCUCUCACUUCAACCCAUUGUUCCUGGGACAGGGUGGGGAGGGGAGAGCUCACCCUCUCCCAUGCUGCCUGAGUGCCAGAAUUACAGAAC